CUGGUAUUCAAUCAAUAUUUACUUUUCAUUUAAUAUUUGUAGCAACAAGUUGUAGGAAUAAGUUAUUUUUUAUUAUUCAAACGCUCAACACUCAGAAAGAAAAAAACUAAAGUCUGCGAAAAAUUGCCGAUCUUAAACUGUUUUAGGUUGGCAUCAGGUCAGCAAUUACAUUUAUUCACAAAAGUUCCAUCAUAAAAAGUAUUGACAGUUAGGUCGGCUUUUCCAAAUGCUGACCCUAAAUCCAAGGGCUGUUCACCAAUACUUUCAAAAUUUUAAAAAAUAUUAAAUAAUUGAAAUAUUUAGCUGACAACGAAAUAAGAAUAUUGUUUAUAUCUUUUUCAUUUUUUUUUAGAUGUAGAUUUUUCAGUUUCAAUAUAUUCUGAAAAUCAAUUAAUAAAUAAAUCCUUUGAAGAUAUUGGCAAAUCAUCUAAAAGUUCUAAUGAUUUAGAUAUAAAGACAACUAUUAUGAUUGGUGAACCACCUGGAUGUUCAGCAAAUGCGCAGAUACAGGGGAAGGGGGAUAAUGUGGGUAAUGCAUUACCCCCACCAGACUUUCAAUUAUUUUUUUUACUCGAACGAAUGCGUUGUGGUGGUUUCAAUCAAAACGUUUUAAAGCUUAAUCAAAUUGGCUGCCGUUUUGCACAUGAGUUCCAGUAUUUGUGUGUUGAAUCGCCUUGUUUUAAAAUCGCCUGUAUUUACUAUCUUAACAUACUAUGGAAUAUUACUAAAUAUACUUAAUAUACUAAAAAGGCGUAAGAUGACAGACUAUUUUCAACAAAAGUAACAGUUUUUUUAUAAAAUGUAAAAGUUUUUUUUCA